UACAGAGGUCCCAAGCGUUGUUCGGAUUCACUGGGCGUAAAGGGUGCGUAGGCGGUCGGGUAAGUCUGACGUGAAAUCUCCAAGCUCAACUUGGAAAUGGCGUCGGAUACUAUUCGGCUUGAGGAGUGGAGGGGAGACUGGAAUUUACGGUGUAGCGGUGAAAUGCGUAGAUAUCGUAAGGAAGACCAGUGGCGAAGGCGGGUCUCUGGACAGUUCCUGACGCUGAGGCACGAAGGUCAGGGGAGCAAACGGG
rnacentral:rRNA from 1 species